rnacentral:rRNA from 1 species
UACGUAGGGGGCAAGCGUUAUCCGGAUUUACUGGGUUUAAAGGGAGCGUAGGCGGGUUGUUAAGUCAGUUGUGAAAGUUUGCGGCUCAACCGUAAAAUUGCAGUUGAUACUGGCAUCCUUGAGUACAGUAGAGGUAGGCGGAAUUCGUGGUGUAGCGGUGAAAUGCUUAGAUAUCACGAAGAACUCCGAUUGCGAAGGCAGCGUACCGGCAUCCAACUGACGCUGAGGCACGAAAGCGUGGGGAUCAAACGGG